CAGUGGGAAAAUUUGGGCCCUGUACUUCAAAAGACGGUAGAAUCUUUUCGUCUCCUCCCUCCUACGGAAAAUUAUGUUCCCCCAUUUAAGGACCCUUGGAGGUUUUGGUGACGACUACAAUGUUUUGGAAUGAGCACUGCAUCAUCUACUGGGGAUCUUUAACUAUGCUUUAUUUCUGAAGCAGCUACAUCAGCACACUGGGUUACAUUAGUUUGCUUUUUGUUCUAGCAUCUAAAGCAAAAGAAAGUACAUAAAGGAUAGAGGAUAAGGAAUAACCAUGACAAGAAACCAGGAAAAUAUAUAAUAACAGUAGUCCUUCAAAGACAAUGAAAAUAAAGUAACUAACUUAAAUCUGAAGGUGAUGCGUAAGUUCAAAAAUCUUAAUAAAAUAAAUUAUAAGUCGACAUAAAAGGAUAUAGCUUUAUAAGUAAUUUAGAAAUUAUAGACAGUUUUAGCAGCCAACAAUAAAAUAAAUUAACAACAAAACUAACCUAAAGACCUUGUAAAUAGAUUGCAAUUUUAGCAAAGAACACGAACUUGCUCUAGGUGCCGGUGCCAUAUAGAACGACCUCAUAAAUAGGUUGCAGCUUCAGCAAAGAACAUGAACUUGCUACCGUAGUCAUGUAGGAUCAGCAAGUACUCACGUAUCUUGACUCGAGGAGAUUCUUCAAAGUUUCUUGGAGAAUCUAUCAUUAGUGGCAAUACAGUUUAAUGACAGAAUCUGCUCCAGCUGUGAAUAGCCAUGGCUGCCUCGGAUGAAAUUUACAAUCUAAAACACCUGUUCAAUUAAUAAGUUAAUGUUAGGUCUAAGAUAGGCAGGAAUUGCAAUUUUUAUUUGAGUUAGAAAGCCAUAGUUUCUUAAUCUAGA